rnacentral:rRNA from 1 species
GAUGAACGCUGGCGGCGUGCCUAAUACAUGCAAGUCGAGCGAACGGACGAGAAGCUUGCUUCUCUGAUGUUAGCGGCGGACGGGUGAGUAACACGUGGAUAACCUACCUAUAAGACUGGGAUAACUUCGAGAAACCGGAGCUAAUACCGGAUAAUAUUUUGAACCGCAUGGUUCAAAAGUGAAAGACGGUCUUGCUGUCACUUAUAGAUGGAUCCGCGCUGCAUUAGCUAGUUGGUAAGGUAACGGCUUGCCAAGGCAACGAUGCAUAGCCGACCUGAGAGGGUGAUCGGCCACACUGGAACUGAGACACGGUCCAGACUCCUACGGGAGGCAGCAGUAGGGAAUCUUCCGCAAUGGGCGAAAGCCUGACGGAGCAACGCCGCGUGAGUGAUGAAGGUCUUCGGAUCGUAAAACUCUGUUAUUAGGGAAGAACAUAUGUGUAAGUAACUGUGCACAUCUUGACGGUACCUAAUCAGAAAGCCACGGCUAACUACGUGCCAGCAGCCGCGGUAAUACGUAGGUGGCAAGCGUUAUCCGGAAUUAUUGGGCGUAAAGCGCGCGUAGGGCGGUUUUUUAAGUCUGAUGUGAAAGCCCACGGCUCAACCGUGGAGGGUCAUUGGAAACUGGAAAACUUGAGUGCAGAAGAGGAAAGUGGAAUUCCAUGUGUAGCGGUGAAAUGCGCAGAGAUAUGGAGGAACACCAGUGGCGAAGGCGACUUUCUGGUCUGUAACUGACGCUGAUGUGCGAAAGCGUGGGGAUCAAACAGGAUUAGAUACCCUGGUAGUCCACGCCGUAAACGAUGAGUGCUAAGUGUUAGGGGGUUUCCGCCCCUUAGUGCUGCAGCUAACGCAUUAAGCACUCCGCCUGGGGAGUACGACCGCAAGGUUGAAACUCAAAGGAAUUGACGGGGACCCGCACAAGCGGUGGAGCAUGUGGUUUAAUUCGAAGCAACGCGAAGAACCUUACCAAAUCUUGACAUCCUUUGACAACUCUAGAGAUAGAGCUUUCCCCUUCGGGGGACAAAGUGACAGGUGGUGCAUGGUUGUCGUCAGCUCGUGUCGUGAGAUGUUGGGUUAAGUCCCGCAACGAGCGCAACCCUUAAGCUUAGUUGCCAUCAUUAAGUUGGGCACUCUAAGUUGACUGCCGGUGACAAACCGGAGGAAGGUGGGGAUGACGUCAAAUCAUCAUGCCCCUUAUGAUUUGGGCUACACACGUGCUACAAUGGACAAUACAAAGGGCAGCGAAACCGUGAGGUCAAGCAAAUCCCAUAAAGUUGUUCUCAGUUCGGAUUGUAGUCUGCAACUCGACUACAUGAAGCUGGAAUCGCUAGUAAUCGUAGAUCAGCAUGCUACGGUGAAUACGUUCCCGGGUCU